rnacentral:rRNA from 1 species
CUAUACAUGACUCUGCGCAUAUCAAUAAGCGGAGGAAAAGAAACUAACAAGGAUUCCCCUAGUAACGGCGAGUGAAGCGGGAAGAGCUCAAAUUUGAAAUCUUAAAGGGUUUCCCUUUACGAAUUGUAGUUUAAAGAAGUGUUUUCUGUUGAGGUUUUGGUAAAAGUUCUUUGGAAUAGGACAUCAUAGAGGGUGAGAAUCCCGUAUUUUGACCUUUACUUUCAACUUUGUGAUACACUUUCAAAGAGUCGGAUUGUUUGGGAAUGCAGUCCAAAAUGGGUGGUAAAUUUCAUCUAAAGCUAAAUAUUGGCGAGAGACCGAUAGCGAACAAGUACCGUGAGGGAAAGAUGAAAAGAACUUUGAAAAGAGAGUUAAACAGUACGUGAAAUUGUCAAAAGGGAAGCGUUUGACACCAGUGUUGUUUUUUCUGAAAAUCAAUUAAAGAACUGUUUAUGCUAAGUUGUUUAGACUUUAUCAGCUAACUGUUUAGUUUUGAGCUUUUCUUUAAUGCACUUUUCAGUUAACAAGUCAACAUCAAUUUCUUUUGCUGUAAAAAAGCUUGAGGAAGGUGGCUUGAGAUUCGUCUUAAGUGUUUAUAGCCUCUUGCCUAUGCAGUCGGAGAGAUUGAGGUCUGCAGCGUAGAUCCUUCGGGGCUAAAUGCAUUUGUGCUAAGUUAUAGCAUUUUAUAGACAACUUGUUGACUAUGAUUUGUCUUGUAGCUUACUCGCUUAUGUUAUUUUACCUACGCUUAGGAUGUUGACAGCAGUAUAGACUGU